rnacentral:rRNA from 1 species
GAUGAACGCUGGCGGCGUGCCUAACACAUGCAAGUCGAGCGAGGAAUGACAGGUAGCUUGCUACCGGUUAUUUCUAGCGGCGGGCGGGUGAGUAACGCGUGAGCAACCUGCCUUUAUCAGGGGGAUAACGCAUCGAAAGAUGUGCUAAUACCGCGUAAGACCACAGCUUCACAUGGAGCAGGGGUCAAAGGAGCAAUCCGGAUAAAGAUGGGCUCGCGUCCGAUUAGCUAGUUGGUGAGAUAACAGCCCACCAAAGCGACGAUCGGUAGCCGACCUAAGAGGGUGAUCGGCCACAUUGGAACUGAGAUACGGUCCAGACUCCUACGGGAGGCAGCAGUAGGGAAUCUUCCACAAUGGACGAAAGUCUGAUGGAGCAACGCCGCGUGAGUGAUGAAGGUUUUCGGAUCGUAAAACUCUGUUGUAAGGGAAGAACACGUACGAGAGGGAAUGCUCGUACCUUGACGGUACCUUACGAGAAAGCCACGGCUAACUACGUGCCAGCAGCCGCAGUAA